AUUUGUAGUACACGCUCUUGAUUUCCUAGGGUUUGCUUAUAGUACGCUCCACAAAGCAGUAUAUUUCAUGUACUAUAAGCAAACCCUAGGAAAUCAAGAGCGUGUACUACAAAU
rnacentral:miRNA from 1 species